UCCCACUGCAGCCCUCCCGCCCGCCUACCGGCCGGCGCGAUGGCGGGGAGUAGCUCGCUGGAGGCGGUGCGGAGGAAGAUCCGGAGCUUGCAGGAGCAGGCGGACGCCGCAGAGGAGCGCGCGGGUACCCUGCAGCGCGAGCUGGACCACGAGAGGAAGCUGAGGGAGACCGCUGAAGCCGAUGUAGCUUCUCUGAACAGACGCAUCCAGCUGGUUGAGGAAGAGUUGGAUCGUGCCCAGGAGCGUCUGGCAACAGCUUUGCAGAAGCUGGAGGAAGCUGAGAAGGCAGCAGAUGAGAGUGAGAGAGGCAUGAAAGUCAUUGAGAGUCGAGCCCAAAAAGAUGAAGAAAAAAUGGAAAUUCAGGAGAUCCAACUGAAAGAGGCCAAGCACAUUGCUGAAGAUGCCGACCGCAAAUAUGAAGAGGUGGCCCGUAAGCUGGUCAUCAUUGAGAGCGACCUGGAACGUGCAGAGGAGCGGGCUGAGCUCUCAGAAGGGUAAGCGGGCCGGCGCCAGGAGGCCACGAAUGGGGUGCUGCAGAGCAGUGACUAAACAGCAUGACCUUCUGGCAGCUGCACAUUACCUGUUUCAGCUCCGGGCUCCUUUUGUGCUCAUUUGAUGUGGAUGAGCCACGAGUAUGGAACAUGGAGGACUC
rnacentral:sRNA from 1 species